rnacentral:rRNA from 1 species
CAAUAGCGUAUAUUAAAGUUGUUGCAGUUAAAAAGCUCGUAGUUGGACUUCUGCGGGUGGCGGCCGGUCGUGCUCGAAACGGGCGUGAACUUGGCGUGCUGCCCGCAUCUUUGGGGAGAUUGUGCGUGGCAUUAAGUUGUCGUGCAUGGGAUUCUCAUCAUUUACUGUGAAAAAAUUAGAGUGUUUAAAGCAGGCCUUUGCCUUGAAUACAUUAGCAUGGAAUAAUAAGAUAGGACCGUUGUCUAUUUUGUUGGUUUACAGAUGUCGGUAAUGAUUAAUAGGGAUAGUUGGGGGUAUUCGUAUUCAGUUGACAGAGGUGAAAUUCUUGGAUUUUCGGAAGACGCACGACUGCGAAAGCAUUUACCAAGGAUGUUUUCAUUAA